ensembl:snRNA U1 U1 spliceosomal RNA
AUAUUUACUUAGCAGGGAAGAUGCCAUGAUCCCAAGGGUAGUUUCCCAGGGCAAGGCUCACCCAUUGCAUUCUGGGUGUGCUGACCCCUGUGAUGUCCCCAAAUGUAGAAAACUCAACUGCAUAAUUUGUGGUAGUGAGGGACUGUGUUUGCACUCUCCCCGG